AGUAAUAUUAACAUUUUUAUCUUAUUUUACAACAAAUAUACCAUCAACUGACUGAUGGUAAUGACAUUUUUGCUAGCUGGCAUUAAUUUAAGUUUUAACAAAAAAAAAAUACAGUGAAAUUGGCUGUCAUGAAUUCAGUAAUAUUCUCUAUAAUGCUUGAGGUGCUGGUAAUGAUCGCCGUCCUGCCUUGACUUGUUGACCUGCUCCCGGGCUGAGAUAUGGCUAGACGGACUUGAAAUGUUUAAUCGGUUAAUCUUCUAUACAAAAGCAGUUUUUUUUAAAAAUUCAAAACAUUCCAGAAUGGCAGCAGCUCAUUUCAACACACUUUAUGACAGUUCCCAUAGCCAAUAUAAGGGUGUGUGUACAACUCUUCUUGGUGACUUGGUGCGAUUAAAACAUGUCAGCGUAUGAAGGGUGUGGGGUUCAAACGACAUGAUUGUGUCAAUGUUGAUGAAAGAGCCUGUACUUGGAACGCAGUAGGAAGAAUCUAGAAUUAAAAUACAGUCGAUUGUCUCCAACUGAACAACCAGAAACAGGAUCUGUGGUUUUACAAAAGCAGUAAUGUUUGUUUGGGGAGGUGUGGAUGAUCACACUAACCUUUCGGAGCCAACCGCCUUUGUGUAGGCUGAUGAUACAAUAGAGCUCCCACCCAAACCUCUCUCUCUUUCUCUGUGCAUCUGUACAGAUGAUCUUGAAGGAAAAGUGAAGUGGUUGGACAACUACCAGAAGGUGAAACAGCUGAAGGAAGCUCUGGUGUGGCUUCCUGUGUGGGAGCAAGACAAGAGGGCGCAUGUUCCUGAGAAUCUGAAGCACUUGCUAAAAGCUGUAACUCUGGAGAACCUGGUGUCUCACCGUAGUCUUCUACAUGAUGGGAAGCUCGUUCUCAUAGAAAAUGCCAAGAUGCAUGAGGUCUACCUGUUUCUCUUUGACGAAUUCCUUCUAAUCACGAAGAUCAAGCGAAGCAAAAAG